rnacentral:rRNA from 1 species
CCUACGGGGGGCAGCAGUGAGGAAUAUUGGUCAAUGGACGAGAGUCUGAACCAGCCAAGUAGCGUGAAGGAUGACUGCCCUAUGGGUUGUAAACUUCUUUUAUAUGGGAAUAAAAUGUUCCACGUGUGGGAUUUUGUAUGUACCCUAUGAAUAAGGCUCGGCUAACUCCGUGACAGCAGCCGCGGUAAUACGGAGGAUCCGCGCGUUAUCCGGAUUUAUUGGGUUUAAAGGGAGCGUAGGUGGAUGUUUAAGUCAGUUGUGAAAGUUUGCGGCUCAACCGUAAAAUUGCAGUUGAAACUGGCAGUCUGGAGUACAGUAGAGGUGGGUGGAAUUCGUGGUGUAGCGGUGAAAUGCGUAGAUAUCACGAAGAACUCCGAUGGCGAAGGCAGUUCACUGGACUGAAACUGACACUGAGGCUCGAAAGUGUGGGUAUCAAACAGGAUUAGAUACCCUUGUAGUC